rnacentral:rRNA from 1 species
UACGUAGGGUGCAAGCGUUGUUCGGAAUUACUGGGCGUAAAGGGCCUAGCGCGACGCUAAUAGUGAUGUGAAAUCCCCAGGCUCAACUUGGGAACUGCAUCCGAUACUGGAUGGCUUGAAUUCGGGAGAGGGAUGCAGAAUUCCAGGUGUAGCGGUGAAAUGCGUAGAUAUCUGGAGGAAUACCGGUGGCGAAGGCGGCAUCCUGGACCGGCAUUGACGCUGAGUGAGCGAAAGCCGGGGGAGCAAACGGG